rnacentral:lncRNA from 1 species
CGGAUUCCUAAAAAUACCCAGGGCAUGAGUCAUCCACUUCCAAAAUGCUGCAAAUGGAUGGAACUAGAAGAAACCAUUCUGAGGAAGGUAAUCCAGUCACAAAAAGACAAACACGGUGAUUCUACAUUAUGUCAAGCUGGCAAUUAAGACUAACCCUCAAAGUGUAGAAAGUUCCUAGGUCAGAUUAUCUUCAAAUUUGAGCACGGGAAAUGAUGCAACAAUAUGACCAGAAUUUGCCAUUACUGUUUGAAAUAUUUGAGAAAAGUGAGCAGAAUACAUGAGUAACAGACACCAGCAAAAAGAAAGGAAAUGGUUCCUGAGAAUGCAGAGACAUCAGGGUCUCAAGGCUGCCAAAUAGUAGGAAAGGACUUCAAAAGUGGGUGAAAAACUCAAUAAGCAUCUCCCCAAAGAAGACAUAUGAAUGGCUCAUGAACACAAAUUACAAAGAUGUGAACAGAACUCUAAGUAAACAUCUCCAGCAUGUUUUAUUAAGAAGCAAAGCAAAAAGAAAACAUGUUUCUGUUGUUGUGGAGACAUUGGAAACUUGUAUCCCAAUGCUAUGGAUGUAAGACAAC